AUGGAGACGCGUCCAACUGCGCGAGGGAGGGGAAAAGGGGCGGGGCUUCGGCGCUGGCAGAGGGAUCCGGAGAGGAGGCGCUGCCUGUCACUCAAUGGGAAGGAUGGGCCGUUAAUCCAAAAUGGCGGGCGGUGGGCAGUUGGGGAAGGGGACAACGUCUUUGGGGGGCUUCCUGAGGCUCAACACCAGCCGCACAUGAAGGAACAGGAAGCCAGCAGAAAAUCUGAUUUUUCUGAGGGCGAGGAGCCCAAAAAUCAUAAGCCCCCAACAAACCCAGGCAAGAAGAAAACAAGGAAGAAGAAAGGGAAAAAGAAAGCCAGCCGGGAUCAUGGAAAGCAUCCCGGCGUGCCACAAGAUGAUGCCACGAAAGCCAUUCCAGGGCAAAGAACAGGAAACCCCCUCCUUGCCUCCACUUCGGCCUCUUCGGUUUUGACUCAAGGCGAUUCCGAAGCGACCAACGAAAGUCUCCGCUGGGAUGGGAUCCUGGAGGACCCUGUUGCUGAAGAGGAGAGGCUGUGGAAAUACAGGCUGAACAGGAGGAAGCGCUAUGGGGAAUACAUCCAGCAGAACCUACCGCCAGAGCCAUCCUUCGCCCUCAGGAAUUUGCCUCAGCUUUGUAAAGUUGCACAAAAGAGCCAGGAGCAUACCGUAUGCAAGAGCAAGUCCUCUACAAGUGCUUCCAACGGGCAGCAAAAGCCAAAUGAAACUGAGUUCUAG
rnacentral:lncRNA from 1 species